CCCAAAGGUUCUAAACCUAAACUCAAAUCCUCUUUGGCCAGGCGGCGAUCCUCUUCUUCUUGUCUCAGCCGUCAGCUCUCUUCAAUCUUCACCUCUUCCUCAGCAUUCAACAAAUUUACAUUGUAAGCCAUCUCUUCUCUCUACCUCUUUCAUUUAUCUCGUACAAAUUUGUUUAAAGUGUGUUUGGAUCGCAAGAAAGAAGGAAAGAAAAAGAGAGAGUGAGAGAGAGAAAAAGUUGAGGCGGCAAAAGAAAAUGGCUGGAGGGCGUUUCGCCGGGGAUGGCCCACGCCGGGCGGGAGCUUCACCGGCCGGUUGACUGUCUAUUAAAAUGCACAAACAGAAUCGUUUGCUUGUAAAGAUCUCCAUAGAGAGUGUGAAGUGGUUAGCAUUGCAAAGGUUGUCUAUUUAGAGGUCAUGAUGAGUCUCCUGACUCUACUAAUCAUGGGAAUUAUAUUGAAUUAAUCAAAUUGUACAGAAGAGCAAAUGAAGAAAUUGAUGUUGUUCUAGAAAAUGUAGCUAAAAAUGCCAUGUACAUAUCACCAGAUAUUCAGAAAGAGAUAUUGAAAAUUAUUGUUGAUUGUGUGCGACAUAAAAUUCGUGAAGAAAUUGGAGAUGCUAAAUUUUGCAUUAUUGUUGAUGAAGCAUGCGAUGAAUCAUAUAAAGAACAAAUGGUUAUUAUUUUGAGAUAUGUUGAUACCAAUGGAUUUGUUAGAGAACGAUUUUUUGAAGUUGUUAUUGUCAAAGAUGCAAAUGCAUUGAUUUUGAAAAAAGAGACAUGUACUGUAUUAAGUCAAUACAAUCUCCUAGUUACAAAUUUAUGAGGUCAGGGGUAUGAUGGUGCUAGCAACAUGCGGGGGAAUGGAACGGAUUGCAAACAUUAUUUCUUAGAGAAUGCCCAUCUGCUUAUUCAUUCAUUGUUUUGCUCAUCGACUACAAUUAGUUUUAGUGACAGGAGAAGUUCCAACUAGUUCUAGGGCUAAUCAGGUUUGUACUUUGCAACGAGCUGGGGCUACUUGUUGGAGUUCACAUUUUGCCUCUUAAAAAAUUGAUUGAGAUGUUUGGUUCUAUUUGUACACUUUUUGAAAAUCUUAUUGAUAAGGGGUCGAACAACAGUGUACGUGGGAGGCUAAAGAUGUUUUGAAAGUUAUGAAAACAUUUGAGUUUGUA